rnacentral:rRNA from 1 species
ACGGCGAGUGAAGCGGCAACAGCUCAAAUUUGAAAUCUGGCCCUAGCGGUCCGAGUUGUAAUUUGUAGAGGAUGCUUUUGGUGAGGUGCCUUCCGAGUUCCCUGGAACGGGACGCCGGAGAGGGUGAGAGCCCCGUACGGUUGGACGCCAAACCUCUGUAUAGCUCCUUCGACGAGUCGAGUAGUUUGGGAAUGCUGCUCUAAAUGGGAGGUAAAUUUCUUCUAAAGCUAAAUACCGGCCAGAGACCGAUAGCGCACAAGUAGAGUGAUCGAAAGAUGAAAAGCACUUUGAAAAGAGGGUUAAAUAGCACGUGAAAUUGUUGAAAGGGAAGCGUUUGCGACCAGACUUUUUCCAGGCGGAUCAUCCGGCGUUCUCGCCGGUGCACUCCGCCUGGUUGAGGCCAGCAUCGGUUUCCUUAGGGGGAUAAAGGCCUGGGGAACGUAGCUCCUUCGGGAGUGUUAUAGCCCCUGGCGUAAUACCCCUCGGGGGACCGAGGAACGCGCUCUGCAAGGAUGCUGGCGUAAUGGUCGUCAACGACCCGUCUUGAAACACGGACCAAGGAGUCGAACAUUUGUGCGAGUGUUUGGGUGUCAAACCCUCACGCGUAAUGAAAGUGAACGGAGGUGAGAGCCCUUACGGGUGCAUCAUCGACCGAUCCUGAUGUCUUCGGAUGGAUUUGAGUAAGAGCAUAACUGUUCGGACCCGAAAGAUGGUGAACUAUGCGUGGAUAGGGUGAAGCCAGAGGAAACUCUGGUGGAGGCUCGCAGCGGUUCUGACGUGCAAAUCGAUCGUCAAAUCUGCGCAUGGGGGCGAAAGACUUAUCGAACCAUCUAGUAGCUGGUUACCGCCGAAGUUUCCCUCAGGAUAGCAGUGUUGUCUUCAGUUUUAUGAGGUAAAGCGAAUGAUUAGGGACUCGGGGGCGCUAUAUUGCCUUCAUCCAUUCUCAAACUUUAAAUAUGUAAGAAGCCCUUGUUACUUAGUUGAACGUGGGCAUUCGAAUGUACCAACACUAGUGGGCCAUUUUUGGUAAGCAGAACUGGCGAUGCGGGAUGAACCGAACGCGGGGUUAAGGUGCCAGAGUGGACGCUCAUCAGACACCACAAAAGGUGUUAGUACAUCUUGACAGCAGGACGGUGGCCAUGGAAGUCGGAAUCCGCUAAGGACUGUGUAACAACUCACCUGCCGAAUGUACUAGCCCUGAAAAUGGAUGGCGCUCAAGCGUCUCACCCAUACCUCGCCCUUAGGGUAGAAACGAUGCCCUAAGGAGUAGGCGGCCGUGGAGGUUAGUGACGA